rnacentral:ncRNA from 1 species
CCAGAAAAGUUAAAUGUGAUAGCUUUUAAGAGCAGACUAAAAGUGUUCUGCUAGUGGGUCUGCUUCGCUAUGGUGAGAAGCAGUAACCUGCAAGACCGUCAAAUUGCGGGAAAGUCCUUAGAGCCUUUGCUACCGCCUCUGCAUGGAAACAUAGCAGUGUGCACCAGGGUAAUGACCUCGGGUAUGGUAAAAACGCAAAGGAUUGGAUAAUCUGCAGCCAAGUCCUAAGGGUGUAAAACCUAUGGAUGCAGUUCAACGACUAAAUGGUGGUCGGUUUCAACGCAAGUUGAAGCUUAAGAUAUAGUCUGGCCCNCCAGAAAUGGGGCC